GUACGUUUACUAAGUCAACAUAACAAGUUUCAGAAACAAUAAAUGCACUUAAUGAUAAGUUAUCAUCCGAUAAUUUAUGUUCAAGAUUCUUGAUUUCUUUAUAUAAUCCGAACUUUGGAUCAUCAAGAUUAAGAUUGCGGAUGCCUUUUGGAUCAAUAAGACUUAACCAUUGUUUACCACUUUUAUCAUCGACUAACCACAAUAAGAAAUCCGGAUAAAAAUUACCCGCAGUAGCAAAGCCCAGGCCUCUAUUUUUAGAAUCCGCAUUUCUUAGCAGAUAUAAACUUUUAUCACCAAUAAUUUUCUGCCCUUUUGUCGAAUCAACAAAAGACUGAAGAUCAUGGACAAAAGUAAUCUCACUUGAUGCACCCAGUGCUGCCGGUCGCAUUUUUAGCGGUAUGUUGGCAUUUUUUUCAAUCGAAAGAAGUGGAUAAUAGAGAUGUUUAUCAAAGGUAAUAGCAACCAUCCCGGAUGCACUCCAGGAUUUUGCUUUACCGAUUUCGCCGUCGAUGACCAAUUGUUGUAAUUGUUCCAGCCGACUGGCAUAUGCCAACCCAUCAUCAGUUUCUUCGAUCUCGAAAUGGUACAUUUUGAUCAUACCAGGAUCAUCUUCUUUCACCUGCGUGACUUCAUAAAACUGACCUUCAUAAGCAUUUUUCAAUGUGUUGUAAAAGCGAUCAGUAUAAUCAGUCAGCAGACGAAGCAUAAUAUCUUCCUGCUUAGCAAUAUCUGCAUAUUGCUUAAUCUCAAGCUCUGAAGCUGGAAUCAAAAGGGUAUACCAACUAUUUCCGAUCUUUGUCUUACCGGUACAAAAGUCGAUCAAACGUUGUUUAUCCACACGUAAAUUUGACCAGCCGCGUUGUAGUUUAUAAUUCUGAAUGGCGAGAUAAAGCCGAUCAAAAUCAAACGCACUAAUGAUUUUAUAAUCUAACUUCGCUUCAUUACGCACGUUAACCGGAGUAUUGUCCCCUUUUCUGCUGGUAUCAAUCGACUCAAGUUUCGGGUAUAGGUCCAGCUUAAUAUGCGGCUGCUUAAUUUUCCCCUGAAAAUCAGCAGGAACUUCAUACAAUUCGGGAAAAUAGACACGUUUAAAGCCGAGUCUUUGAUUAUCUUUAUAACCAUCUUUAAGCUUAAGUGUUUUAAGCCUGGUUGCUGGCAUAUUUGGCCGAGUUUCAAAAUUCAGCUCAAGGAUCUCGUCACUUGGCGUAAUCCCUUCAUCUUCCAGGUAUUGUUUAAAGGUUGCCAUGUAAUCGGCACGUACACCGAAUACAUUCAGUGUCUCUAAUUUUUCCAGAUGCAACCCUUUCGGACGCUCACCGGGUGUACUGCGUUUCAAAGAAUAAUUGCGACCUUUAAGGCGAACGCCACGACCAAAUAACUGAAUGAUCUGUGAACCUUCUCCACGGCCCAUAUUGAGCAAUCCCAUCGUUGAGACGCGCCAACUGCCCCAGCCUUCAGUAAAUUUUCGCGAGCCGAUCAAAAUAUGUAGUUGCGAGUCUUUGUCAUUUAACGUAUGAAAGAGUGACUUCGCAAAAUCAUCUCUCUGAUAAUCAAAUGUCGUAUCCUCUUCACACAUUUUGUAAAGAGACGGUGCAUCACCAAUAUUGAUAAGACCAAACGGUUCGGCCUCACCAACCUGUAAUGCCAGUUCACCUUUACUGCCUAUUAAAUUCAGAACUCGCAGUCUCUGACCUGAGUGAGUGGUGUUAAACAAACGAGAAAGAAUAUCUGCGUAGAUAUCUUCCGGGCCGUUCAUUAGUGCGGUAAAGCGAUUUUCAAAAAUGUUACGCUCUUUGGUAUCAAGAAUUCGCGCUUUAUUUUCAAUGAGAUCUUUAAUCCACGAUUUUGCCUGCGAUUCAUGAUUUAAAAACCAUGCUAAAAAACGCAGUACUGCGUGAAUGUCUGAAUCUUCACCACUUACGGUGUUACCGACAAAAACCCAUAGCGGUUUUUCGAUAUUAAAUUCAUUUAAUUUUUCUUUAUUCUUAUUGAAUAAAUAUUGUUGCUGAUAAAAGCUGAGCAAACACGCGGUAAAAUACUCAUACCGACGCUCAUCUUUUUUAUCCUCUUCAGGAUUAAGGUUAAGAAUCAGUGAUUCUUGGUAAUGACUCCAACUUACUGAUAGUGUUUUAUGUUCAGAUAAUGCCCGAUGACCUUGUCAUGCAACUCCACCGAUUUUGAGAACGACAGUAACUUCCGUCCCAGCCUUGCCAGAUGUUGUCUCAGAUUCAGAUUAUGUCGCUCAAUGCGCUGAGUGUAACGCUUGCUGAUAACGUGCAGCUUUCCCUUCAGGCGUGAUUCAUACAGCGGCCAGCCAUCCGUCAUCUAUACCACGACCUCAAAGGCCGACAGCAGGCUCAGAAGACGCUCCAGUGUGGCCAGAGUGCGUUCACCGAAGACGUGCGCCACAACCGUCCUCCGUAUCCUGUCAUACGCGUAAAACAGCCAGCGCUGACGUGAUUUAGCACCGACGUAGCCCCACUGUUCGUCCAUUUCAGCGCAGACAAUCACAUCACUGCCCGGUUGUAUGCGCGAGGUUACCGACUGCGGCCUGAGUUUUUUAAGUGACGUAAAACCGUGUUGAGGCCAACGCCCAUAAUGCGUGCACUGGCGCGACAUCCGACGCCAUUCAUGGCCAUAUCAAUGAUUUUCUGGUGCUUACCGGGCUGAGAGGCGGUGUAAGUGAACUGUAGUUGCCAUGUUUUACGGCAAUGAGAGCAGAGAUAGCGCUGAUGUCCGGCAGUGCUUUUGCCGUUACGCACCACGCCUUCAGUAGCGGAGCAGGAAGGACAUCUGAUGGAAAUGGAAG
rnacentral:rRNA from 1 species